GAUGAACGCUGGCGGCGUGCCUAAUACAUGCAAGUAGAACGCUGAAGGAGGAGCUUGCUCUUCUGGAUGAGUUGCGAACGGGUGAGUAACGCGUAGGUAACCUGCCUGGUAGCGGGGGAUAACUAUUGGAAACGAUAGCUAAUACCGCAUGACAACAGUUAUUGCAUGAUAACUGUUUAAAAGGGGCAACUGCUCCACUACCAGAUGGACCUGCGUUGUAUUAGCUAGUUGGUGAGGUAACGGCUCACCAAGGCGACGAUACAUAGCCGACCUGAGAGGGGGACCGGCCACACUGGGACUGAGACACGGCCCAGACUCCUCCGGGGGGCCGCAGUAGGGAAUCUUCGGCAAUGGACGGAAUCCUGACCGGACAACGCCGCGUGAGUGAAGAAGGUUUUCGGAUCUUAAAGCUCUUUUUUAAGAGAAAAACGGGUGUGGGAGGGGAAAGUUCACCCUGUGACGGUAUUUUACCAGAAAGGGCCGGCUAACUACGU
rnacentral:rRNA from 1 species